rnacentral:rRNA from 1 species
GCAGUCGAGGGGCAUCAUGAGGUAGCAAUACCUUGAUGGCGACCGGCGCACGGGUGAGUAACACGUAUGCAACCUGCCCUCUUCAGGGGGACAACCUUCCGAAAGGGAGGCUAAUCCCGCGUAUAUCGGUUUCGGGCAUCCGAGAUCGAGGAAAGAUUCAUCGGAAGAGGAUGGGCAUGCGGCGCAUUAGCUAGACGGCGGGGUAACGGCCCACCGUGGCGACGAUGCGUAGGGGUUCUGAGAGGAAGGUCCCCCACACUGGUACUGAGACACGGACCAGACUCCUACGGGAGGCAGCAGUGAGGAAUAUUGGUCAAUGGGAGAGAUCCUGAACCAGCCAAGCCGCGUGAGGGAAGACGGCCCUAUGGGUUGUAAACCUCUUUUGCCGGAGAACAAAACCCGGGACGAGUCCCGGACUGCGUGUAUCCGAAGAAAAAGCAUCGGCUAACUCCGUGCCAGCAGCCGCGGUAAUACGGAGGAUGCGAGCGUUAUCCGGAUUUAUUGGGUUUAAAGGGUGCGUAGGCGGUCCGUUAAGUCAGCGGUAAAAUUGCGGGGCUCAACCCCGUCGAGCCGUUGAAACUGGCAGACUUGAGUUGGCGAGAAGUACGCGGAAUGCGCGGUGUAGCGGUGAAAUGCAUAGAUAUCGCGCAGAACUCCGAUUGCGAAGGCAGCGUACCGGCGCCAGACUGACGCUGAGGCACGAAAGCGUGGGGAUCGAACAGGAUUAGAUACCCUGGUAGUCCACGCAGUAAACGAUGAAUGCUGGUUGUCCGGGUCGAA